rnacentral:rRNA from 1 species
GGGUUGUGAGGUUAAGCGACCAAGCGUACACGGUGGAUGCCCUGGCAGUCAGAGGCGAUGAAGGACGUGCUAAUCUGCGAAAAGCGCCGGUAAGGUGAUAUGAACCGUUAUAACCGGCGAUGUCCGAAUGGGGAAACCCAGUGUGACUCGUCACACUAUCAUUAACUGAAUCCAUAGGUUAAUGAGGCGAACCGGGGGAACUGAAACAUCUAAGUACCCCGAGGAAAAGAAAUCAACCGAGAUUCCCCCAGUAGCGGCGAGCGAACGGGGAGGAGCCCAGAGCCUGAAUCAGCAUGUGUGUUAGUGGAAGCGUCUGGAAAGGCGCGCGAUACAGGGUGAGAGCCCCGUACACAAAAGCGCAUAUGCUGUGAGCUCGAUGAGUAGGGCGGGACACGUGGUAUCCUGUCUGAAUAUGGGGGGACCAUCCUCCAAGGCUAAAUACUCCUGACUGACCGAUAGUGAACCAGUACCGUGAGGGAAAGGCGAAAAGAACCCCGGCGAGGGGAGUGAAACAGAACCUGAAACCGUGUACGUACAAGCAGUGGGAGCCUCUCUUUAUGGGGGGUGACUGCGUACCUUUUGUAUAAUGGGUCAGCGACUUAUAUUCUGUAGCAAGGUUAACCGCAUAGGGGAGCCGAAGGGAAACCGAGUCUUAAUUGGGCGUUAAGUUGCAGGGUAUAGACCCGAAACCCGGUGAUCUAGCCAUGGGCAGGUUGAAGGUUGGGUAACACUAACUGGAGGACCGAACCGACUAAUGUUGAAAAAUUAGCGGAUGACCUGUGGCUGGGGGUGAAAGGCCAAUCAAACCGGGAGAUAGCUGGUUCUCCCCGAAAGCUAUUUAGGUAGCGCCUCGUGAACUCAUCUCCGGGGGUAGAGCACUGUUUCGGCUAGGGGGCCAUCCCGGCUUACCAACCCGAUGCAAACUGCGAAUACCGGAGAAUGUUAUCACGGGAGACACACGGCGGGUGCUAACGUCCGUCGUGAAGAGGGAAACAACCCAGACCGCCAGCUAAGGUCCCAAAGUCAUGGUUAAGUGGGAAACGAUGUGGGAAGGCCCAGACAGCCAGGAUGUUGGCUUAGAAGCAGCCAUCAUUUAAAGAAAGCGUAAUAGCUCACUGGUCGAGUCGGCCUGCGCGGAAGAUGUAACGGGGCUAAACCAUGCACCGAAGCUGCGGCAGCGACACUUUAGUGUUGUUGGGUAGGGGAGCGUUCUGUAAGCCGUCGAAGGUGUGUCGUGAGGCAUGCUGGAGGUAUCAGAAGUGCGAAUGCUGACAUAAGUAACGAUAAAGCGGGUGAAAAGCCCGCUCGCCGGAAGACCAAGGGUUCCUGUCCAACGUUAAUCGGGGCAGGGUGAGUCGACCCCUAAGGCGAGGCCGAAAGGCGUAGUCGAUGGGAAACGGGUUAAUAUUCCCGUACUUGGUGUUACUGCGAAGGGGGGACGGAGAAGGCUAUGUUGGCCGGGCGACGGUAGUCCCGGUUUAAGCGUGUAGGUGUGUGUUCCAGGUAAAUCCGGUUCACUUUAACACUGAGGCGUGAUGACGAGGCACCACGGUGCUGAAGCAACAAAUGCCCUGCUUCCAGGAAAAGCCUCUAAGCAUCAGGUAACAUCAAAUCGUACCCCAAACCGACACAGGUGGUCAGGUAGAGAAUACCAAGGCGCUUGAGAGAACUCGGGUGAAGGAACUAGGCAAAAUGGUGCCGUAACUUCGGGAGAAGGCACGCUGACACGUAGGUGAAGUGAUUUACUCACGGAGCUGAAGUCAGUCGAAGAUACCAGCUGGCUGCAACUGUUUAUUAAAAACACAGCACUGUGCAAACACGAAAGUGGACGUAUACGGUGUGACGCCUGCCCGGUGCCGGAAGGUUAAUUGAUGGGGUCAGCGCAAGCGAAGCUCCUGAUCGAAGCCCCGGUAAACGGCGGCCGUAACUAUAACGGUCCUAAGGUAGCGAAAUUCCUUGUCGGGUAAGUUCCGACCUGCACGAAUGGCGUAAUGAUGGCCAGGCUGUCUCCACCCGAGACUCAGUGAAAUUGAACUCGCUGUGAAGAUGCAGUGUACCCGCGGCAAGACGGAAAGACCCCGUGAACCUUUACUAUAGCUUGACACUGAACAUUGAGCCUUGAUGUGUAGGAUAGGUGGGAGGCUUUGAAGCGUGGACGCCAGUCUGCGUGGAGCCGACCUUGAAAUACCACCCUUUAAUGUUUGAUGUUCUAACGUGGACCCGUAAUCCGGGUUGCGGACAGUGUCUGGUGGGUAGUUUGACUGGGGCGGUCUCCUCCUAAAGAGUAACGGAGGAGCACGAAGGUUGGCUAAUCCUGGUCGGACAUCAGGAGGUUAGUGCAAUGGCAUAAGCCAGCUUGACUGCGAGCGUGACGGCGCGAGCAGGUGCGAAAGCAGGUCAUAGUGAUCCGGUGGUUCUGAAUGGAAGGGCCAUCGCUCAACGGAUAAAAGGUACUCCGGGGAUAACAGGCUGAUACCGCCCAAGAGUUCAUAUCGACGGCGGUGUUUGGCACCUCGAUGUCGGCUCAUCACAUCCUGGGGCUGAAGUAGGUCCCAAGGGUAUGGCUGUUCGCCAUUUAAAGUGGUACGCGAGCUGGGUUUAGAACGUCGUGAGACAGUUCGGUCCCUAUCUGCCGUGGGCGCUGGAAGACUGAGGGGGGCUGCUCCUAGUACGAGAGGACCGGAGUGGACGCAUCACUGGUGUUCGGGUUGUCAUGCCAAUGGCACUGCCCGGUAGCUAAAUGCGGAAAAGAUAAGUGCUGAAAGCAUCUAAGCACGAAACUUGCCCCGAGAUGAGUCUUCCCUGAGACCUUGAGUCUCCUGAAGGAACGUUAAAGACGAUGACGUUGAUAGGCCGGGUGUGUAAGCGCAGCGAUGCGUUGAGCUAACCGGUACUAAUGAACCGUGAGGCUUAACCUUACAACGCCGAAG